rnacentral:lncRNA from 1 species
AAACACUGAAAACAAAAACCAUAGCUAAGACACAAGUGGUGAAGAAAAGACUUCUUGGUUUAAAGCAUUAAACUGAGGAUACCCCAUCCAAUCACCAAGCUCCACACCAUCUUUCUUAUGGACCAUGUUUUCUGUACUCCACUCUGCAAUAAUCAAAUAACAUCUUGUAUUCAUAUUUUUUCCCACUAUUAUUAUAAUUGGAUAUGCAAAAAAAAAAUAGCUUCAUCCAUUGAAAGCUAAACAUGUUUUUGGAUAAAAAUAUAUUAAAUUUGAAAAAAUGAAUUUAGACUAUAAUAUUAAAAAAUAUUUAAAAAAUAAAUUGGGUUUUAGUUAAAUAUUUGAAGUAUAGACAUAGAUAGAAUUAAUUAAUUAUAAAUAUAGAUAAAUUUCAACAAAAUUUAUAGAUGCCAUUAAUAUGAUAUGUGUGUGUUGAUCCAACCUGAGGUCUAAUUAAAGCUUUCCAUGUCAGAGUUUACGUUAGAAUUUAGAACACCCUCUAUAUUUUUGCUAUAUUAGACAUACUUAAAUUUUAAACCCCAUAAGAGAAUAUGCAUAUACAUAUACAUAUAGAUAUACAUACCGUAUCGGUUCCAGCAGGGCCUGGUGAAGAAGCGCCGAGGCUGGGAGUAGGGGCCUCAUUUGAUGGAGACGGUGGGCUGGAGGCCGAAGGUGAUAGUGCUGGAGACUUAGCUUUGGUCUUGCUAGGGGCCGGAGCUGGAACCGUGGCAGGAGGAGAAGCCAAAGGAGCUGGUGGUGGGGUAGCUGGAGGAGGAGUAGCAGGAGGGGGAGAAGCAGGUGGUGGGGUAGCCGGAGGUGGAGAAGCCGGUGGGGGAGUUGCGGGAGGUGGAGUAGCCGGGGGAGGAGAAGCUGGUGGUGGGGAGCUAACGGGCGGGGGAGUCGCUGGAGGAGGAGUGGAAACUGGUGGUGGUGAUGAAGUAGGAGGAGGAGAGGAAGCUGGUGGCGGAGAAGUAGUUGUGGGUGUUGGAGGUGGUUGAGUAGUAGGUGGAGGUGUGGAAGCGGGUGGAGUCGGCGGCGCCGGCGUGGAUGUCGGAGGAUUACUAGGAGUAGGAGGAGCUUGGCCUAAAACGCCAGCUACAGCAAUGCAAAACAAAGCUGAUAAGAACAAAAACUUAUUAUUAAGCAUCAUAUUGGAAACAAUGGUGACCCUUUAAUCCUGCACACCCUCUCCGCUUAAACUACGCCCAGCCGUGCAAGCAAAUGAGGGAGAAGAAGAGGCAAGUAUGAGAAAUGAAAAGAUGGUGAUAUUUAUAUAUAGGAUAUGGAAAUUUCCAUAUCAUAUUUCAAUUUAAAAUCCCCAAAACAAAUACCAGCAUUUUUAUUUUAUUACUAAUGGGAAAAUUGCAUUACUAA